rnacentral:misc_RNA from 1 species
GAGGCUGUAAAAGUGAUUGAAACGAGAGCAUUUGGUUUUGCACGUUUAACAUAUUUUGAGGUUGUUUGGAGAGGCCUAGAUCAGAAGGCAGUUGAUAGUUAAUAGAACUAGCUGGAUUGAAAGUACUAUUUGUGGCUGGAAUGGAUAAGGUCAUUGUAUUGUUAUUAUUGGUAGUGGUAGCAGCAUUAGUAGCAUCAACCAUAGUAUUGUUCAACAAUGAAGAGGAAGUAGAAGAAGAUGAUGAUGAUGAGGAGGAGGUGAAUAAAAAUGGAGAUUGUUGA